rnacentral:rRNA from 1 species
CGUAGGGGCCAAGCGUUGUCCGGAUUUAUUGGGCGUAAAGAGCUCGUAGGCGGUUCGGUAAGUCAGCUGUGAAAUCUCCGCGCUCAACGCGGAGGGGUCAGCUGAUACUGCCGUGACUUGAGUCUGGUAGGGAGUGCGGAAUUCCCGGUGUAGCGGUGAAAUGCGCAGAUAUCGGGAGGAACACCAGUGGCGAAGGCGGCACUCUGGGCCAGUACUGACGCUGAGGAGCGAAAGCGUGGGGAGCGAACAGGAUUAGAUACCCUGGUAGUCCACGCCGUAAAACGUUGGGCACUAGGUGUGGGAACCUAUCGACGGUUUCCGUGCCGUAGCUAACGCAUUAAGUGCCCCGCCUGGGGAGUACGGCCGCAAGGCUAA